AUAUAAUGUAUAACUUUACGGCAAACAAAAGCCAGACAUAUUGAGAGUGAAUUGUUUACAUAUUAAAAUAUAUGUAUAAUUGUAACCUUCUGUUAACACCCUCUUCAAGAAAAGAAACACUAGUUCUAGGUUUUAAAAUGCUGUCUUAACUGUGCUCAGUGAAGAGCUCUGUAUGUAAUGAGAGCAGUAUAUACAGGAGGGACUCUUGAAGGGGGGAAAAAAAAACAACAAAAACUAGAUCCUAUGAAAGUGUUUAGCAAAAGUGGCUCCAUGCUCAUUUGUCUGCAUCAAAAGAAUUCAUUGUCAUCUCCAAAGACAAACUUCGGGGGCGGGAGAGGGGCUAGAAAACGUGCUUUAUUGAAAGCAAGACAUGAUUUAAUCUGAUCUCACCAGAAUUUCAUUCUAGCCCUAGGAAGGUUGCCCUGGUGACAUCACACUGUGCAUCAUGUCCUCAGCCCACAGGCAUCUAUUGUGAGCUCUAGAAGAGACUUGGCAUGAACUGGAAAUGGAGAAAUGCACACAUUUUGAAGUACUGAUCAGGGAGAGCAAAGGCAUCUUCCAUUCCUGCUACUAAAAGAAGUCUAGUGCCUUGGCUGGGAUUUACACUGAUUAUUUCCAUCACCACAAAGAGAAACAGCCUGGCAUUUGCACCAAGCUCUUUUCCAAGUACUAUCCCUAGUACUUGACAGAGCAGAGUCACUGUUGGGUCUUCUACCAGUUAACCAAUUCAACCACCACAAAGAACUUCUCAAGUUAAUAUAGGAAGCAAACAAAGCAAGUUUCUAGCUCCUUUUCCAUUAAGAAAUGGAUUAGAAAAGCAUUUUCAUCACCCAUUAAGCCAGAGGGAAAUAAGAACAGAGAAAGAGCAAAGAAACCCUUGAAUUAUAUAUGUUGAUUUAUCUAGUAGGCUGGUUUUUCCCCCUACAAGCCCAUGGUAAUAAACACCAUGGCUCUGAUCCACCACAGAUCCCCUAGAUAGACUUUUAUGCAUAUUUUUUGUUCUCUGUAUGAUCACAUAAGUUUGGCAAUGCAGCCAAAACACAACUGCUUUCCAUGUCCCAUAAAGAUUCCCUAUUUCCCUCAAAGUGAAACCACUUCUCCUGAAAAACAACCUCCCCAUAUGCAAUUUCCUUUGCUCCUCCUGAGCUGGAGCCCUGUUGAAGCCUGCUGGGUGGCAGCUGGGCUCUUGCCCUGAUCCCCAGCUUUCCGCACUGUUCUUCCAAAACCAGCAGCCCACUUACAGGCACAGAAGAUGAUGCCAGGAUGAAUCCAGAUAGAUCAGGUUGGUAUCACACUUUCACGUCCUGUGCACUGCAUGCAGUAUAUGCUUGUUAUCUAAGCUCUGUGAGCUUUGGAACGUCUCCUGUGACAUCUUUGGGGAUAUGAGAGACUUUUGUGGUGCAUCUGUUGAUAGAAGAGCAAACCACACCAUGAAGAACAAGUCAAUUCCUUGUAACCAGGAUGUAUCCGUAGUUAUCUCAAAGUAUCCUUCUAGGCCUCUAAUUUGGCUGCGUACUCCAUUUAAAAAUGUUGUUUUAUCAUGAGGUGAGCCAGAAGAUCUACUGGAAUCUUCCUACUGCAUUUCCAAUACAAAGCACUCUAAUGAUGUUAGCCUUGCAAAUAGUAUACUGAAGAACUUCCAUUCAGGCUCUCUUUUUUUUCAAAGGAGC
rnacentral:lncRNA from 7 species